rfam:Sclerotinia sclerotiorum 1980 scaffold_19 genomic scaffold, whole genome shotgun sequence.
GGCAAUUUGGCCGAGUGGUUAUGGCGCCAGUUUCAGGCUCACCUGAUUCUCCAAUACUGGUUCGAAAGAGCGUGGGUUCGAAUCCCACAAUUGUCA